CACUCCUGCGGGAGGCAGCAGUGGGGAAUUUUACGCAAUGGGGGAAACCCUGACGUAGCGACACCGCGUGAGCGAAGAAGCCCUUUGGGGUGUAAAGCUCUGUCAGCUGGAACGAAAACAAUGACGGUACCAGCAGAGGAAGCAUCGGCUAACUACGUGCCAGCAGCCGCGGUAAGACGUAGGAUGCGAGCGUUGUCCGGAUUUAUUGGGCGUAAAGAGUUCGUAGGUGGUUUGUUAAGUUUGGUGUUAAAGAUCGGGGCUCAACCCUGGGACUGCACUGAAUACUGGCAGACUCGAGUGUGGUAGAGGCUAGUGGAAUUCCCAGUGUAGCGGUGAAAUGCGUAGAUAUUGGGAAGAACACCGGUGGCGUAGGCGACUAGCUGGGCCAUAACUGACGCUGAGGAACGAAAGCCAGGGGAGCGAAUGGGAUUAGAUACCCCUGUAGUCCCAU
rnacentral:rRNA from 1 species